rnacentral:rRNA from 1 species
UUGAACGCUGGCGGAAUGCUUUACACAUGCAAGUCGGGCGGCAGCGCGGGGGCAACCCUGGCGGCGAGCGGCGAACGGGUGAGUAACAUAUCGGAACGUACCCAGACGUGGGGGACAACUAGUCGAAAGACUAGCUAAUACCGCAUACGUCCUGAGGGAGAAAGCGGGGGAUCGCAAGGCCUCGCGCGUUUGGAGCGGCCGAUAUCUUAUUAGCUAGAUGGUGGGGUAAAGGCCCACCAUGGCGACGAUCAGUAGCUGGUCUGAGAGGAUGAGCAGCCACACUGGAACUGAGACACGGUCCAGACGCCUACGGGAGGCAGCAGUGGGGAAUUUUGGACAAUGGGGGAAACCCUGAUCCAGCCAUUCCGCGUGAGUGAAGAAGGCCUUCGGGUUGUAAAGCUCUUUCGGCAGGAACGAAACGGCGGAAUCUAAUACAUUCCACUAAUGACGGUACCUGAAGAAGAAGCACCGGCUAACUACGU